UUUGAUCAGGGCUGGAAAUAAACUCUGCAGUGCAUUGGCCCUCCGGGGCCAGAUUUGAGGAACACUGCCUAGCACUACUAACUGUCCAAAAUUUACGUUAAUAAUAAGGGCUAGAAAGAUUUUUUUUUUUUUUCUGAUUUCUUUUGCUUAAGAUGAUUCGAUUUGUACCCUAAGACGUCAUGAAGACCAGUGGUUUUCAACCUGUGGGCCGCGGCACCCUAGUAUGUCGCGAUGGUAUUGCAGGACAUCCCCUUGUCCCUUGUACAAUGCUGAUGUUGAUGAAUACGUGCCCAAAUUGAAGUGUUCACUGGGAGCUGAUGAGAUGGGUGCAGCCUGCUCAACGUUUAAAAGACAACUCCACCAAUGUGAAGACCAUGUGUUCAUAUAUGACAUCAGAGGUUUCUUCCUGCCCACCCCUUUCAUUCCGUUCUAUUCAAGGAAAGUGUCCAAGACAUUUCCAAGUCGACUUUGGCCUCUAUGGAUUGUACCUUCUCAGGAAAGAGUGAUAUUCGAUCUUUGUAGACAUGUGAUGUUGACCCAGAUGAAAUUCAGUUGAGCAGAACGUGCUGCACUCUGACAAAAUGUACAAAUGCUGCAGUCCAUCAGCAUAAACUGUACCAUAUUACAUAUCUUCUAUAACAGCUGUUGUUUAAAAAUCAGCCAUCAAAACACAGGGACCACUUUCUAAAGAUAAUACACAGCUGAUUGUGACAUGUUGGUUGUAGAAUGGAAGGAGAGAGUUGAGGAAAGGGUCUAUUUGCACCGUUUAUUAACCCUCUGCUAUUAUUCAAUCAUUAGAAGAAAAGAUCCCAUGUGGUCUGAGAAUUAAGAAAUUUCCUUCAUUUUGGGCUGAUCAUUUGGACUAAAAUAAAUGGGAGCAAAUACUGAAUAAAUUCUCUAUCAUACUUCUCCACAAUACGGAAGCUAAAAAAAAUACAAAAGGAAAUACAUUUAUUUUAUUUUACCCUAAAAUAGAUUUUAAUUUAAUAAAUAAUUUUCCUCUAUAUUUUAAAAUAUUUUAUAUUUUAUUUUUGUUUUCCAAUUUAAUUAAUUUAUAUGUUUCGUAUGUAUUUUACUACUUUGUUUGGUUUGUGUAGAAGUUGGUUGG